rnacentral:rRNA from 1 species
AGAGUUUGAUCCUGGCUCAGGAUGAACGCUAGCGGCAGGCCUAACACAUGCAAGUCGAGGGGCAGCACGGUGUAGCAAUACACUGGUGGCGACCGGCGCACGGGUGCGUAACGCGUAUGCAACCUACCCAUAACAGGGGGAUAACACUGAGAAAUUGGUACUAAUACCCCAUAACAUCAGGACCGGCAUCGGUUCUGGUUGAAAACUCCGGUGGUUAUGGAUGGGCAUGCGUUGUAUUAGCUGGUUUUGG